rnacentral:rRNA from 1 species
AGAACACAACUCUCAGCAACGGAUAUCUUGGCUCUUGCAACGAUGAAGAACGCAGCGAAAUGCGAUACGUAGUGUGAAUUGCAGAAUUCCGCGAAUCAUCGAGUUUUUGAACGCAAGUUGCGCCCGAGGCUUGUCCGAGGGCAUUUCCGCUAGAGCGUCACC